rnacentral:rRNA from 1 species
AGAGUUUGAUCCUGGCUCAGGACGAACGCUGGCGGCGUGCUUAACACAUGCAAGUCGAACGAAGAGCGAUGGAAGCUUGCUUCUAUCAAUCUUAGUGGCGAACGGGUGAGUAACGCGUAAUCAACCUGCCCUUCAGAGGGGGACAACAGUUGGAAACGACUGCUAAUACCGCAUACGAUCCGACCUCGGCAUCGAGGAUGGAUGAAAGGUGGCCUCUAUUUAUAAGCUAUCACUGAAGGAGGGGAUUGCGUCUGAUUAGCUAGUUGGAGGGGUAACGGCCCACCAAGGCAAUGAUCAGUAGCCGGUCUGAGAGGAUGAACGGCCACAUUGGGACUGAGACACGGCCCAGACUCCUACGGGAGGCAGCAGUGGGGAAUCUUCCGCAAUGGACGAAAGUCUGACGGAGCAACGCCGCGUGAGUGAUGACGGCCUUCGGGUUGUAAAGCUCUGUUAAUCGGGACGAAAGGUCUUCUUGCGAAUAGUUAGAAGAAUUGACGGUACCGGAAUAGAAAGCCACGGCUAACUACGUGCCAGCAGCCGCGGUAAUACGUAGGUGGCAAGCGUUGUCCGGAAUUAUUGGGCGUAAAGCGCGCGCAGGCGGAUCAGUUAGUCUGUCUUAAAAGUUCGGGGCUUAACCCCGUGAUGGGAUGGAAACUGCUGAUCUAGAGUAUCGGAGAGGAAAGUGGAAUUCCUAGUGUAGCGGUGAAAUGCGUAGAUAUUAGGAAGAACACCAGUGGCGAAGGCGACUUUCUGGACGAAAACUGACGCUGAGGCGCGAAAGCCAGGGGAGCGAACGGGAUUAGAUACCCCGGUAGUCCUGGCCGUA